CGGCUACCUUGUUACGACUUCACCCCAAUCACCGAACAUACCUUGGGCGCCUCCGUCCCUUGCGGGUUAGGCCAGCGACUUCUGGUACAACCGGCUUUCGUGGUGUGACGGGCGGUGUGUACAAGGCCCGGGAACGUAUUCACCGUGGCAUGCUGAUCCACGAUUACUAGCGAUUCCAACUUCAUGGAGUCGAGUUGCAGACUCCAAUCCGAACUGAGGCCAACUUUCUGGGAUUGGCUCCCCCUCGCGGGUUUGCAACCCUUUGUAUCGACCAUUGUAGCACGUGUGUAGCCCUGGACAUAAAGGCCAUGAGGACUUGACGUCAUCCCCACCUUCCUCCGGUUUAUCACCGGCAGUCUCUCUAGAGUGCCCAACUGAAUGGUGGCAACUAGAGACAAGGGUUGCGCUCGUUGCGGGACUUAACCCAACAUCUCACGACACGAGCUGACGACAGCCAUGCAGCACCUGUGCUGGGGCUCGUAUUGCUACGCACUCCCACGUUUCCGUGAGAUUCCCCACAUGUCAAGCCCAGGUAAGGUUCUUCGCGUUGCGUCGAAUUAAAACCACAUGCUCCACCGCUUGUGCGGGCCCCCCUUCAAUUCCUUUGAGUUUUAACCUUUGCGGCCGUACUCCCCAGGCGGGGCGCUUAAUGCGUUAGCUGCGGCACGGAGGGGAUUAAAAACCCCCUACACCCUAGCGCCCAUCGUUUA
rnacentral:rRNA from 1 species